GUUAGUUUAAUUUUAUUUUUUAUUGAAAAUUUUUAAAAUUAUUUAUUUGUUUAAUUAUAAUUUUUUUAAAUAGAAUUUUUUUUACCUGUAAAGUUAUUUUUUUUAAUUUUUUAAUAGUAAAUUUUUUAAUUGUACCUUUUGUAUCAGGGUUAAUUAAUUUCAUUAAAAUAUUUUUUAUUCCCGAAAUUUUAAGAUUUUAGUUUUUUUGGUUUUAAUUAUUUCAUUAAUUUUAAUUAGUUAAAUUAAGUUUUGAAAUGAAAAUCGUUUAAUUUGAUAUCUGGUUUUAUUUGAAUUAAAUUUAAUUUAGGAUUUUUAAUAUUAUUAAAUUAUUAUUUUUUUUUAAUUUUAAAUCUUGUUUAAUUUAGGCUUAGCUAACUUAAUUUCUAUAAUUUUUUUUUAUUUAAAGAUUUAGUAGGAUUAAUAUCUUUUUUCUUUAAUAAUUCGUUUUAGAUAAAUUUUUUGUUUAAAUUAAAUAAUUAAAAUUUAGGUUUAUAGAAUUUUUAAAAAUUGAAUUAUUUUUUUUUAAAAUAAUGAUUAAAUUAGUAAAUUUUAAGUUUUAAUUUAUGAACUCGGCAAAUUUAUUAAUCUUUUGACUGUUUAUCAAAAACAUUUCCUUUAGAUUUUUUUUAAGGUAAAACCUGCUCAAUGAAAAUUUUAAUAGCUGCAGUAAUUUAACUGUACAAAGGUAGCAUAAUAAUUAGUCUUUUAAUUGAGGUCUAGAAUGAAUGGUUCAACAAAAAGUUAACUUUAUUAUUUUAAUAAAAUUUUAAUUUAAUUUUUUAGUUAAAAAGCUAAAAUAGUUAAUUGGGACGAUAAGACCCUAUAGAUCUUUAAUUUUUUUUAAAUUAAUAACACAUUUUUAGUUACAUUUAUGGUUUUGAAUUAAAAAUUUUGAUUGGGGUGAUUUUUAAAUAUUUAAAACUUUUUAAUAUUAUUAACAUAUAUUUUUGAUUUUUUUUGAUCUUUAAUUUUUGAUUACUAGAUUAAGAUACCUUAGGGAUAACAGCGUAAUAAAUUUGGAUAGUUCAUAUUGAUAAAUUUCUGAUUACGACCUCGAUGUUGAAUUAAUUAAAAUUUUUGAAGUAGAAAUUAAAUUUUUUGGGUCUGUUCGACCUUUAAUUGAUUACAUGAUUUGAGUUCAAACCGGUGUAAGCCAGGUUGGUUUCUAUCUAAUUACUAUUAAUAUUUAUUUAGUACGAAAGGACUUUUAAAUUAGGAAGAUUUCUU
rnacentral:rRNA from 1 species